rnacentral:rRNA from 2 species
UGGGAGCUUGCUCCCUGAGAUCAGCGGCGGACGGGUGAGUAACACGUGGGUAACCUGCCUGUAAGACUGGGAUAACUCCGGGAAACCGGGGCUAAUACCGGAUAACACCUACCCCCGCAUGGGGGAAGGUUGAAAGGUGGCUUCGGCUAUCACUUACAGAUGGACCCGCGGCGCAUUAGCUAGUUGGUGAGGUAACGGCUCACCAAGGCGACGAUGCGUAGCCGACCUGAGAGGGUGAUCGGCCACACUGGGACUGAGACACGGCCCAGACUCCUACGGGAGGCAGCAGUAGGGAAUCUUCCGCAAUGGACGAAAGUCUGACGGAGCAACGCCGCGUGAGUGAAGAAGGUUUUCGGAUCGUAAAACUCUGUUGUUAGGGAAGAACAAGUACCGUUCGAAUAGGGCGGUACCUUGACGGUACCUAACCAGAAAGCCACGGCUAACUACGUGCCAGCAGCCGCGGUAAUACGUAGGUGGCAAGCGUUGUCCGGAAUUAUUGGGCGUAAAGCGCGCGCAGGUGGUUUCUUAAGUCUGAUGUGAAAGCCCACGGCUCAACCGUGGAGGGUCAUUGGAAACUGGGGAACUUGAGUGCAGAAGAGGAAAGUGGAAUUCCAAGUGUAGCGGUGAAAUGCGUAGAUAUUUGGAGGAACACCAGUGGCGAAGGCGACUUUCUGGUCUGUAACUGACACUGAGGCGCGAAAGCGUGGGGAGCAAACAGGAUUAGAUACC